rnacentral:rRNA from 1 species
GAGCACGUAGGUGGGUUUGUAAGUCAGAUGUGAAAGCCUUCUGUUCAACGGAAGAAUUGCUUCUGAAACUGCAAACCUUGAGUAUAGGAGGGGAGAAUGGAACUUCUGGUGGAGCGGUGAGAUGCGUAGAUAUCAGAAGGAACGCCGGCGGCGAAAGCGAUUCUCUGGCCUAUGUCUGACACUCAGUGUGCGAAAGCUAGGGGAGCAAACGGGAUUAGAUACCCCGGUAGUCCUAGCCGUAAACGAUGGGCACUAAGUAGAGGGGUUUU